rnacentral:rRNA from 1 species
UACGUAGGGGGCAAGCGUUGUCCGGAAUUAUUGGGCGUAAAGAGCGUGUAGGCGGCUAGGUAGGUCCGUUGUGAAAACUCGAGGCUCAACCUCGAGACGCCGGUGGAAACCAUCUAGCUAGAGUCCGGAAGAGGAGAGUGGAAUUCCUGGUGUAGCGGUGAAAUGCGCAGAUAUCAGGAAGAACACCCGUGGCGAAGGCGGCUCUCUGGGACGUGACUGACGCUGAGACGCGAAAGCGUGGGGAGCGAACAGG